UAGCGGAUUUUGAACAAAUAGGUAACACUUCUCUCUGGUGGAAUAAUCUCGUGCAAUGAAGUUCAACUACAUAAAGAAUUAUACGUGCUUUGUAAGCCAACAUUUUAGUAGGAGUGCAACUUGCAAGGUCAAGAUUAUUGUGCUCACAAGUGUUCAUCAUGGAAUGGAACGACGCGGAUUGAAAAAGCUAAUUUUAAGGUGCCACGAUGAAAAGUCGAAGUCUGAAUUUCAAAAUUGCUCUGGACAAGACGACGAGAAGAUAACUAAAAUAUUUUAGACCUAAUUACGAAAUUUAGAAGAAAUGGCGGUAAUCGAAGACGAUCAUUCACCAAUCAAAGUAGUUCAUUCGCCACUGGAAGCGGAGCUAGAAUUUCUUCUGAUUUCUAUAAUUCAAAAUUUACCAAUGGACAUGGAGGGCCCCAUUUUGUACUAGGAGGAGGAGGACGUUGGUAAAAAAAGAGGAUGACACAGCCAAAAGUAGGAGAAAAAUCACACCUGUCGUAACCAUAUGCAAGAACAAGCCUGGAAGGAUCAACUAAUUCCAGUUGAAUUCUCAUUGCACGAGAGUAUUCCACCAGAGACAAUCACAGGAACAAAGGUUGAAACUUACUUCAAAGAUCUGAAGCAGUCUGUUCACACCAGAAAAAAAUCAGACAGGAAUUUGUCGUCAAACAUGCGCAACCUUAUUCGAUAGGGCGCUUCUGCUUGCCAGCCAACAGAAAUCGAAGAAGAAGAAAGAGUCAAAAUUGUCCCAUAAGAGGUCAAUGGAGGUUUACCUAGUAGGUAAAUUCGUAUCGUUAGAGGUCGCAACAGCAUAAAGAGCCGUAUCACAUGAGAUUCGCACACGUUGUGCAGGAGACGAUAAAAAACUCGACUCCCAAAAACCCCUGGUUCGACAUCUCCCGUGUCCGACAAUAAUGAUUGUAUUUUAGUUCAAUCGGAUUCAGAAAAACAACAGAUUUAGAACCAAUUUAAAAUUACAAACUGGAACUGAUACAAGUAAAUGGGUUCGUUUUGAAAAGACAAAUUUGGACUUGGAAGCUGAUCUUAAUCAGAAGAAUCAAACCACCUUUACGCAUAAACCACAGCUAAUAUUGGCGACCUUUCAUUUUUAGCGGCUAAAGUUGUUCCAAAUCAUUUUAAACAUUCAUCCCUAAUACUGCACCUUCUUUACUACGAAAAGACGAAUUAAACUUCCCGCUCAAUCACUCGCAUUGUUAGAGGAACGAAGCGAAAUGUCGAAAUUUAUCAAAAAUAUUGCCGGUAUGCAUUCCACCUGCCAGAAAGUCAUUGUCUUAAUUACCCCCGAUUCCCAACUUAAUUUACCCCAACUCGGGAAGCCUGAUAAUUUCCAGCGCCUCCGCGUAGUUGAUAAUUACCAGUUUUGGCUUCCCAUUAAACGAUCCGCUUUCUUUGCCACGCAAUUCUUAAACUUUAUUUUCUACAUAACACAAAGCUACGCUUUAUUAACAAAAUUCAGAAUUAUUAACAAAUUUCGGGUUGUUUACAAAACCCGGAAUCUGUAACAGUUACCGUACAAUUGUAUCGUAAAAACUUCAUUUAUUAUAUUCGCAUACGUUUAAAUGGUAACGUAAAAUAUUUGUAUAACUCCAAUUUGUCAACUAGUCAUUUAUCAUUGGUCAACUAAAAUAAAGAAAUAUUAAGUAGAGCCAAUUUUAAUCUGUUGUGAGAACGGUAUGGCCACCAGCACGAUAUCAACAUUAAAUUAUGAGGGUGUCGCACAUAUG